AAACCGGUUUAUGUGUAGUGGAACGAUACAGAGAAGAUUAGCAUGGCCCCUGGGCAAGGAUGACACGCAAAUUCGUGAAGCGUUCCAUAUUUUU
rnacentral:snRNA from 1 species